rfam:Schistosoma rodhaini strain Burundi genome assembly, scaffold: SROB_scaffold0013223
GCACUGCUGAGGAGUCCCAUAAUGAGACGAAAUGGCCGUCCAGUGC